rnacentral:rRNA from 1 species
AACGAACGCUGGCGGCAGGCCUAACACAUGCAAGUCGAACGAGUGGCGGACGGGUGAAUGAUGGCUGGACACCUGCCUAACGGAGGGGGCAAACUGCUGGAACCCGUAGCUACUACUGCAAACCAUCAGAUGUGGCCAGGUGGGAUUAGCUAGUUGGUGGGGUAAAGGCUCACCAAGGCGACGAUCCCUAGCUGGUCUGAGAGGAAGACCAGCCACACUGGAACUGAGACACGGUCCAGACUCCUACGGGAGGCAGCAGUGGGGAAUAUUGCACAAUGGGCGCAAGCCUGAUGCAGCCAUGCCGCGUGUAUGAAGAAGGCCUUCGGGUUGUAAAGUACUUUCAUCGGGGAGGCGUUACCCGCAGAAGAAGCCCCGGCUAACUCCGUGCCAGCAGCCGCGGUAAUAC